rnacentral:rRNA from 1 species
UACGUAGGUGGCAAGCGUUGUCCGGAAUUAUUGGGCGUAAAGCGCGCGCAGGCGGCCUUUUAAGUCUGAUGUGAAAUCUUGCGGCUCAACCGCAAGCGGCCAUUGGAAACUGGGAGGCUUGAGUACAGAAGAGGAGAGUGGAAUUCCACGUGUAGCGGUGAAAUGCGUAGAUAUGUGGAGGAACACCAGUGGCGAAGGCGACUCUCUGGGCUGUAACUGACGCUGAGGCGCGAAGGCGUGGGGAGCAAACAGG